rnacentral:rRNA from 1 species
UGGGGAAUAUUGCACAAUGGAGGGAACUCUGAUGCAGCGACGCCGCGUGAACGAAGAAGGCUUUCGAGUCGUAAAGUUCUUUUAUAUGGGAAGAUAAUGACGGUACCUCAAGAAAAAGCCCCGGCUAACUACGUGCCAGCAGCCGCGGUAAUACGUAGGGGGCUAGCGUUGUCCGGAAUCACUGGGCGUAAAGGGUUCGCAGGCGGAAUAACAAGUCAGAUGUGAAAGGCAUGGGCUCAACCCAUGUAAGCAUUUGAAACUGUAAUUCUUGAGAAGUGGAGAGGUAAGUGGAAUUCCUAGUGUAGCGGUGAAAUGCGUAGAUAUUAGGAGGAAUACCUGUGGCGAAGGCGACUUACUGGACAAAAAUCGGACGCUGAGGAACGAAAGCGUGGGUAGCAAACAGG